rnacentral:lncRNA from 1 species
UGCAGGCCACUUCCCCACACUCUGGCCCCUUCCAGCUUCAGGCCCACUUCCCCACACUCUGGUCCCCUUACCAGCUUCAGGCCCACUUCCCCACACUCUGGCCCCUUACCAGCGUCAGGCCCACUCCCACACUGGUCCCUUACCAGCUUCGGCCCACUUCCCCACCCCUGUCCCCUUACCAGCUUCAGGCCCACUUCCCACACCCUGAUCCCCUUUUCCAGCUUCAGGCCCACUCCCCACACUCUGGCCCCCUUACCAGCUUCAGGCCACACUCUGGUCCCCUUACCAGCUUCAGGCCCACACUCUGGUCCCCUUACCCGCUUCAGGCCCACUCCCCACACCUGAUCCCAUUACCAGCUUCAGGCCCACUUCCCCACAUCUGGCCCCACUCUGGUCCCCUUACCAGCUUCAGGCCCACUUCCCCACACUCUGGCCCCCUUACCCGCCUCAGGCCCACACUCUGGCCCCCUUACCAGCUUCAGGCCACUUCCCCACACUUGGCCCCCUUACCAGCUUCAGGCCCACUUCCCCACACUCUGGCCCCCUUACCAGCUUCAGGCCCACUUCCCCACACUCUGGUCCCCUUACCAGCUUCAGGCCCACUUCCCCACACUCUGGUCCCCUUACCAGCUUCAGGCCCCACUCCCCACAUCUGGCCCCUUUACCAGCUUCAGGCCCACUUUCCCCACCACUCUGAUCCCCUUACCAGCUUCAGGCCCACUUCCCCACACCCUGAUCCCCUUACCAGCUUCAGGCCCACACUCUGGUCCCCUUACAGUUUCAGGCCCACUCUCCCAACCAUGAUUCCCUUACCAGCUUCAGGCCCACACUCUAUGAUCCCCUACUCAGCUUCAGGCCCACUUCCCCACACUCUGGCCCCCUUACCAGCUUCAGGCCCAUUCCCCACCACUCUGGCCCCCUUACCAGCUUCAGGCCCACUUCCCACACUCUGGCCCUCACACACUUACUGGUCCCUACAGCUUCAGGCCCACUUCCCCACCACUCGGUCCCUUAGACCAGCUCAGCCAAACUUCCCCACACUCGUGCCCCUUUACCAGCUUCAGGCCCACUUUCCCACACUCUGAU